GAUGAACGCUAGCGAUAGGCCUAACACAUGCAAGUCGAGGGGCAUCACAUGAAGUAGCAAUACGGAUGGUGGCGACCGGCGCACGGGUGAGUAACACGUAUGCAACCUGCCUUCAACAAGGGGAUAACCCGUUGAAAGACGGACUAAUACCCUAUAACACAGGGGUCCCGCAUGGGGAUAUUUGUUAAAGGACAACCGGUUGAAGAUGGGCAUGCGUUCCAUUAGCUAGUUGGCGGGGUAAGGCCCACCAAGGCAACGAUGGAUAGGGGAACUGAGAGGUUUAUCCCCCACACUGGUACUGAGACACGGACCAGACUCCUACGGGAGGCAGCAGUGAGGAAUAUUGGUCAAUGGACGCAAGUCUGAACCAGCCACGUCGCAUGAAGGAAGACGGCCCUACGGGUUGUAAACUUCUUUUGCAAGGGAAUAAAGUGGGCCACGUGUGGCCUUUUGCAAGUACCUUGCGAAUAAGGAUCGGCUAACUCCGUGCCAGCAG
rnacentral:rRNA from 1 species